rnacentral:rRNA from 1 species
GUUUGAUCCUGGCUCAGAAUGAACGUUGGCGGCAUGGAUUAGGCAUGCAAGUCGAGCGAGAAUGUAGCAAUACACGGAAAGCGGCGGAAGGGAGAGUAAUACGUGGGAAUCUGCCCUUAGACCUGGGAUAGCAGCGGGAAACUGCUGGUAAUACCAGAUAAUGUCUAUGGACCAAAGGUGUGAUUCCGUCUAGGGAUGAGCCCACGUCCUAUUAGCUAGUUGGUAGGGUAAUGGCCUACCAAGGCGAUGAUGGGUAGCAGGUGUGAGAGCACGACCCGCCUCACUGGGACUGAGAACUGCCCAGACACCUACGGGUGGCUGCAGUCGAGAAUCUUCGGCAAUGAGCGCAAGCUUGACCGAGCGACGCCGCGUGCGGGAUGAAGGCCUUCGGGUUGUAAACCGCUGUCGUAGGGGAGCAAGAGAUGAGGGUACUCCCUCAAAUUUGAGCGAUCCUAGGAGGAAGGACGGGCUAAGUUCGUG